rnacentral:snRNA from 1 species
AUGCUUACUUGGCAGGGGAUACCAUGAUCAUGAAAGUGGUUUCCCGAGGAGGAGCUUCAUCCAUGGCACUUGGGAUGUGUUGAUCCCGCAAUUUCCCAAAAGGUGGGAAACUCGAUUGCAUAAUUUGUGGUAGUGCGUGACUGCACACGCGUUCUCCCCUG